UACGUAGGGUGCAAGCGUUAUCCGGAUUUAUUGGGCGUAAAGGGGGCGCAGACGGCAGCGCAAGCCAGGAGUGAAAGCCCGGGGCCCAACCCCGGGACUGCUCUUGGAACUGCGCGGCUGGAGUGCAGGAGGGGCAGGCGGAAUUCCUGGUGUAGCGGUGAAAUGCGUAGAUAUCAGGAGGAACACCGGUGGCGAAGGCGGCCUGCUGGACUGCGACUGACGUUGAGGCCCGAAAGCGUGGGGAGCAAACAGG
rnacentral:rRNA from 1 species